ACGAACGCUGGCGGCGUGCUUAACACAUGCAAGUCGCACGGAAAGGCCCUGCUUGCAGGGUACUCGAGUGGCGAACGGGUGAGUAACACGUGGGUGAUCUGCCCUGCACUUCGGGAUAAGCCUGGGAAACUGGGUCUAAUACCGGAUAGGAGCCAUUUUUAGUGUGAUGGUUGGAAAGUUUUUUCGGUGUAGGAUGAGCUCGCGGCCUAUCAGCUUGUUGGUGGGGUAAUGGCCUACCAAGGCGGCGACGGGUAGCCGGCCUGAGAGGGUGGACGGCCACAUUGGGACUGAGAUACGGCCCAGACUCCUACGGGAGGCAGCAGUGGGGAAUAUUGCACAAUGGGCGCAAGCCUGAUGCAGCGACGCCGCGUGGGGGAUGACGGCCUUCGGGUUGUAAACUCCUCUCGCUAGGGACGAAGCUUUUUGUGACGGUACCUAGAUAAGAAGCACCGGCUAACUACGUG
rnacentral:rRNA from 1 species